GGGGACGAAUCUGGCUUCGACGGGAAUCAUGGUGGUAGUGGACGCAUGCCGAGGACCCCGGUUUCCUCGUUAAUCAUCCGGGAAAACAAGUAAAUGCAGACGAUUAUUCGUAUGCACUGGCUGCCUAAUUAAAGGCGGCCUCGUUCACCGCGGUUUGUGCCUGCAGGGGCUGCGGAUGAACGUCGAUCUCUGCGGGCUAGCCUUCCGGCAUGCUCUGGGCCAGGAGGCGAAACCUUACAGGGCUGGAUCGCUUCGGCCUGGUCCGUUGCGCCUGAAGCGAUCGAGAUUCAGCAGCGGAACAAGCAUGUAGUGGCUGCUAUGGCCGGGUUUUCGGACGUGGGUUCGACUCCCACCGUCUCCACCA
rnacentral:tmRNA from 1 species